GAACUAAAGAGACAAUAUUUUAAGCAAUAUGUCUGGAAAUUUCCUCUUCUACGCUGUGGUGUUCAUCCUUCUGAAUUUUGUUUGCACUCAAUCCGAGGAUCAGAAACGCUUACUGAUAAAUGAUCCUCAAUAUUUUGAAAAUCGGCUUCAGGAAAUGGAAUCUAAAAUCCAGUCUUUGACAAGGGAAGUGGAAACUUUGAGGGCCAACAAUUCUAAAGCCAUUGGUGGGGCUACUUUCGUUUGAUGGGGAAGAAAGAGUUGUCCCGACGCCGACUCGGAAUUGGUAUACUGGGGCUACACAGGCGGAUCACCGUAUGACCAGACAGGAAGCGCAGCGGAGUAUGUCUGUCUACCACGUGACCCUACUUUUCACAAUAUUCUGUCCUCAGCUGGCAAUUCUAUGUAUGGUUCAGAGUAU